AUUGAACGCUGGCGGCAGGCCUAACACAUGCAAGUCGAGCGGAUGAAGGGAGCUUGCUCCUGGAUUCAGCGGCGGACGGGUGAGUAAUGCCUAGGAAUCUGCCUGGUAGUGGGGGAUAACAUCCGGAAACGGGCGCUAAUACCGCAUACGUCCUGAGGGAGAAAGUGGGGGAUCUUCGGACCUCACGCUAUCAGAUGAGCCUAGGUCGGAUUAGCUAGUUGGUGGGGUAAAGGCCUACCAAGGCGACGAUCCGUAACUGGUCUGAGAGGAUGAUCAGUCACACUGGAACUGAGACACGGUCCAGACUCCUACGGGAGGCAGCAGUGGGGAAUAUUGGACAAAGGGCGAAAGCCUGAUCCAGCCAUGCCGCGUGUGUGAAGAAGGUCUUCGGAUUGUAAAGCACUUUAAGUUGGGAGGAAGGGCAGUAAGUUAAUACCUUGCUGUUUUGACGUUACCAACAGAAUAAGCACCGGCUAACUUCGUG
rnacentral:rRNA from 1 species